AUUGAACGCUGGCGGCAUGCUUUACACAUGCCAGUCGAACGGCAGCGCGGGCUUCGGCCUGGCGGCGAGUGGCGAACGGGUGGGUAAUGCAUCGGAACGUGCCCAGUAGUGGGGGAUAGCCCGGCGAAAGCCGGAUUAAUACCCCAUACGACCUGAGGGUGAAAGCGGGGGACCGAAAGGCCUCGCGCUAUUGCGGGGUCCGAUGUCGGAUUAGCUAGUUGGUGGGGUAAAGGCUUACCAAGGCGACGAUCCGUAGCUGGUCUGAGAGGAUGACCAGCCACACUGGGACUGAGACACGGCCCAGACUCCUACGGGAGGCAGCAGUGGGGAAUUUUGGACAAUGGGGGCAAGCCUGAUCCAGCCAUGCCGCGUGCGGGAAGAAGGCCUUCGGGUUGUAAACCGCUUUUGUUCGGGAAGAAAAGCAGCGGGCUAAUACCCCGGGGUGAUGACGGUACCGGAAGAAUAAGCACCGGCUAACUACGUG
rnacentral:rRNA from 1 species